UACGUAGGGUGCGAGCGUUAAUCGGAAUUACUGGGCGUAAAGAGUGCGUAGGCGGUUCUUGAAGUCCGCUGUGAAAGCCCCCGGGCUUAACCUGGGAAUGGCAGUGGAAACUGGAGGACUUGAAUUGAGCAGAGGGGGGGUGGAAUGCCGCGUGUAGCAGUGAAAUGCGUAGAGAUGCGGCGGAACACCGAUGGCGAAGGCAGCCCCCUGGGCUUAAAUUGACGCUGAGGCACGAAAGCGUGGGGAGCAAACAGG
rnacentral:rRNA from 1 species